AAAAAUACCCUCGGGUGAGGAUUAACAACAACAACAACAGCCCCUGCUUCCUUUAAGGGGUUUUAGGAACCAAUAAUUUAAGGAGGGAUCAACCCCCACCUCUGAGGUAACUUCGGGGAGAAGAAACAAUGAGGACCAGGAGGACUAGCAAGAUGUGGAGACAGAGCAUAGAGAUGCCAUGUACUUUACCUGAGGUUCUAGGAAUUGAGAUCUGAAACCAGGCCACCUGCUCCUGGCCCAAGUGCUUAAUCCCCAUGGUGAACCUGUUGACUCAGAAUCUUAAGAAAACUGAGGCCUAGACAGGAGGCAGGGCUCAAGCAGUGGUCCCUACAGCUUGGUAAAAAUACACACCACCCAUUUUCUUAGUGGCUCUAGUCUUCCUGGCCAAACUGGGAAUUUACAGGAACAUCUCCAAUGCAUUUCUUUCCUGCUUUACUUGCUGAGAAUUAACUCCUCUUGCCUGUCGCCAAGAUGUCUACUUAAUGGAAGACCCAUUCUCCCCAAACCCUGUUGUUUUAAAGAUGGCCUUAUUUAAAUGGCAGCCAGAUUGCCUCCAAGACAGGAGCUUAAACUCAUAAAAGGGAUCUUAGCGAUCACUUUGUUCCAUUUUUCCAAAGACAGAUGCAAUCAAAACCUUUGAAUACAAAUUUUUAAACUCAGAAUGGAAAUCAGUAUAGGAAUGGUCCAUUUCUACUUCAGGGGCAGCUUUUCUCUGUGGCCUCCUCUUGUCCAGGAGGCACACUGACCAGCCUAAUACAGGAAGCAGUCCACUCAACACAUGGCAAUAGAGCUUGCACCACACGCCAGACACCAGCCCCAGCCCCAGAUGCGCAAAGACAGGAGGCUGGUGACGCCAGCACAAGCCCAGGAGCCUUCUUCAGUCCAAGAUGUGGCUUCAUCAAAAUCCUGUCUGUCCCGGGGAGACCACGGGCGAAGGUCUUACACAGUGUGUUGCAUGAUUCCUCUUGCAUCACUUUUUUUCUACUUUAUUGGUUCUAUGUUUCUGAUUACAAAACAGGAAGAUUUGGAAAAUGCAAGAAAUAACUCAGAGAAAAUAAACAUAAUCGUUAUUCUUCCAUCAGA